CACCGCGGUUAUACGAGGGGCCCAAGCUGACAGUCACCGGCGUAAAGAGUGGUUAAUGAGUUAUAUUAUACUAAAGCUGAACUCCCCCAAAGUUGUUUAACGCACUCGAGGGAAUGAAGAACAACCACGAAAGUGACUUUACACUAUUUGAACCCACGAAAGCUGGGGAACAAACUGGGAUUAGAUACCCCACUAUGCCCAGCCCUAAACUUAGAUAAAAUACUACUUUUAUUCAUCCGCCCGGGUACUACGAGCACCAGCUUGAAACCCAAAGGACUUGGCGGCGCUUCACACCCACCUAGAGGAGCCUGUUCUAGAACCGAUAACCCCCGUUCAACCUCACCUUCUCUUGUUUUCCCCGCCUAUAUACCGCCGUCGUCAGCCCACCCUGUGAAGGACCAGUAGUGCGCAAGACUGGCACAGCCCAGAACGUCAGGCCGAGGUGUAGCGUAUGAGAAGGGAAGAAAUGGGCUACAAUUGCUUGAAUAGCUAAAACGAAUUGUAACGCUGAAAACGCGCACAUGAAGGAGGAUUUAGAAGUAAGGAAGAAAGCAGAGUGUUUUCCUGAAAUGGUUCUGAAGCAUGCACACACCGCCCGUCACUCUCCCCAAAUUAGAACCUUUACGAUAGUAAAUAAACAAUUAAACCUAUAAAGGGGAGGCAAGUCGUAA
rnacentral:rRNA from 1 species